UACGAAGGGGACUAGCGUUGUUCGGAAUUAUUGGGCGUAAAGGGCGCGUAGGCGGUGCGGUAAGUCACCUGUGAAAUCUCCUGGCUCAACUGGGAGCUUGCAGGCGAAACUGCCGUGCUGGAGUGUGGGAGAGGUGCGUGGAAUUCCUGGUGUAGCGGUGAAAUGCGUAGAUAUCAGGAGGAACACCUGUGGCGAAAGCGGCGCACUGGACCACAACUGACGCUGAGGCGCGAAAGCUAGGGGAGCAAACAGG
rnacentral:rRNA from 1 species